rnacentral:rRNA from 1 species
CGGCAACAGCUCAAAUUUGAAAUCUGGUCCUUUUGGGGCCCGAGUUGUAAUUUGUAGAGGGUGUUUCGGCGUCGGCCUUGGUCUAAGUUCCUUGGAACAGGACGUCAUAGAGGGUGAGAAUCCCGUAUGUGACUGGCUGCCUUCGCCUAUGUGAAGCUCUUUCGAC